rnacentral:rRNA from 1 species
AACGUAGGUGGCGAGCGUUAUCCGGAUUUACUGGGCGUAAAGCGUGUGCAGGCGGGGGUCCCAGUGGGGUGUGAAAUUUCCCGGCUUAACCGGGAAGGGUUAUGCCAGACUGGACUUCUGGAGUGCGAGAGAGGGGCGUGGAAUUCCGGGUGUAGUGGUGAAAUGCGUAGAGAUCCGGAGGAACCCCAGAGGCGAAGGCGGCGCCCUGGCUCGCAACUGACGCUCAGACACGACAGCAUGGGGAGCGAACGGG